AUACGUAGGUGACAAGCGUUAUCCGGAUUUACUGGGCGUAAAGGGCGUGUAGGCGGUCUUGCAAGUCAGAAGUGAAAUUCCUGAGCUCAACUCGGGCGCUGCUUCUGAAACUGCAGGACUUGAGUGCUGGAGGGGAUAGCGGAAUUCCUAGUGGAGCGGUAAAAUGCGCAGAGAUUAGGAAGAACACCGGUGGCGAAGGCGGCUAUCUGAACAGAAACUGCAGCUGAGUCGCGAAAGCGGGGGAAGCAAACAGGAUUGGAUACCCUGGUAUUCCACGCCGUAAACGAUGAAUACUAGGUGUAGGGGGUAUCGACUCCCUCUGUGCCGCAGUUAACACAAUAAGUAUUCCGCCUGGGGAGUACGGCCGCAAGGUUGAAACUCAAAUGAAUUGACGGG
rnacentral:rRNA from 1 species